rnacentral:rRNA from 1 species
GACGAACGCUGGCGGCGUGCUUAACACAUGCAAGUCGAACGGAAAGGCCCCCACCUUGGUGGGGGUGCUCGAGUGGCGAACGGGUGAGUAACACGUGGGUGAUCUGCCCUGUACUUCGGGAUAAGCUUGGGAAACUGGGUCUAAUACCGGAUAGGACCAUGGUUUAGUGUCUCAUGGUGGAAAAAUUAUUGUUUUGGUGCAGGAUGAGCUCGCGGCCUAUCAGCUUGUUGGUGGGGUAAUGGCCUACCAAGGCGUCGACGGGUAGCCGGCCUGAGAGGGUGGACGGCCACAUUGUGACUGAGAUACGGCCCAGACUCCUACGGGAGGCAGCAGUGGGGAAUAUUGCACAAUGGGCGCAAGCCUGAUGCAGCGACGCCGCGUGGGGGAUGACGGCCUUCGGGUUGUAAACUCCUUUCGUUAGGGACGAAGCCACACCUUUUUUGGGUGUGGUGACGGUACCUUUGUUAAGAAGCACCGGCUAACUACGUG